rnacentral:rRNA from 1 species
CCCUUAGAUGUCCUGGGCCGCACGCGCGUUACACUGAUGCAUUCAACGAGCUUAUAACCUUGGCCGAGAGGCCUGGGCAAUCUUGUUAACGUGCAUCGUGAUAGGGAUAGAUUAUUGAAAUUAUUAAUCUUGAACGAGGAAUUCCUAGUAAACGCAGAUCAUCAAUCUGCAUUGAUUACGUCCCUGCCCUUUGUACACACCGCCCGCCGCACCUACCGAUUGAGUGGUCCGGUGAGGCUUUGGGAUCUGAGCGGAAAGAGCGUUUCGCUGUUUCUGCUCGGAAAACUCAGUCGAACCUUAUCAUUUAGAGGAAGGAGAAGUCGUAACA